rnacentral:rRNA from 1 species
GACGAACGCUGGCGGCGUGCCUAAUACAUGCAAGUAGAACGCAGUUGCGAACGGGUGAGUAACGCGUAGGUAACUGCCUCAUAGCGGGGGGUAACUAUUGGAAACGAUAGCUAAUACAGCACACUGUGAGAUGGACCUGCGUUGUAUUAGCUAGUUGGUGAGGUAAAGGCCCACCAAGGCGACGUUACAUAGCCGACCUGAGAGGGGUGUUGGACACACAUGGACUGAGACACGGCCCAGACUCCUACGGGAGGCAGCAGUAGGGAAUCUUCGGCAAUGGACGGAAGUCUGACCGAGCAACGCCGCGUGAGUGAAGAAGGUUUUCGGAUCGGAAAGCUCUGUUGUGAUAGAAGCGGUAACUAACGAGAAAGGGACGGCUAACUACGUGCCAGCCGCCGCGGUAAUAC